AGAUCAAGAACCUGUUGAUAUGCAAGAAAAUAAUAGAAUAAUAGGUGGGAUUUGAGAGUUUAUUACUAUAAAGGUCAUGAGUUCUAUUUUAGGGCUUUGGAAAAGAGGAGGCUAGAAAGGAUAUUUUUGUCCCUUAUCAUAUUCUCGAGCACCGAGCCUAGUCCUUUGAUUUUCUGAAUUGGUGAGUGUUGUCACUUCAUAGUACGUGGGGGC
rnacentral:lncRNA from 1 species